rnacentral:hammerhead_ribozyme from 1 species
AUCCAGCUGACGAGUCACAAAUAGGAUGAAACGCGAGUACUGGAU